rnacentral:pre_miRNA from 1 species
AUUCCAUUCCUGCUCAAUGUUUUGUCACUUGGCUCGAUGUUUCAAAGUNUCAUCCUCGAGCCAAGGGACAAAACAUUGAGCAGGAAUGGAAUCGAUCCAGAUC